GGACAAUGAUUUAAAAGUUAUAUGUUAAUAUGUAUGAUGAACAGAAGACAACAGAUUACAAGAUAUUGACGGUUAAAUAGGAAAAAAAAGACUACAGUCUAAAAGCAAACUAUACUGCCUCAUUCUCAUUGUAAUGUACAUUACACAUAUAUCAGUUAAAACUUCAGUUUUAUGAUCUACACACGGAAAACACAAUUUUAAAUUCUCAGUGCUGAAGAAAUCUUCAAAUGUGUCAUCAAAUGGAUUCGCUGAGCCUGCAUGUUUCAGAAAACAUACUUCCAAUAAUUGAAUAAUUUGAAACAAAUUUUGAUUUACAUGGGUUAAGAAUCCUCUAGUUUUCAAAUUGACUAAAUCUGCUGCUGGAUUAGAUGAUUUACCUUUAGCAACUUGUAAACUGGAUUUACAGACUUCACAUUUAGUAUGUUUUAAUUAUCUCUUUGUUACAUACCUAUGACACAUAAAAAAAAUCAUGUAGAUAAUAAUAUAAAAACAUGUAAUACUAUUCAAGUAACAGUUAAUUUGAUUUACCCAGCUAAGAAAUAAACUAUGCAUUCAAAUACUGUUGAAUCUAAAUUACUAUAACUAUGCUCUUUAAAAAUGUCAUCUAAAGUCCAAUAACCCUCUUCAACAAUAU